GACGAACGCUGGCGGCGUGCUUAACACAUGCAAGUCGAACGGUGAAGCGCUUUCCUUUUUGGUUGGUGUGGAUGAGUGGCGAACGGGUGAGUAACACGUGAGUAACCUGCCCCCUUCUUCUGGAUAACCGCAUGAAAGUGUGGCUAAUACGGGAUAUUCUGCGCCUGCUGCAUGGUGGGUGUGGGAAAGAUUGUGCCUUUGGGUGUUUUCGGUGGGGGAUGGGCUCGCGGCCUAUCAGCUUGUUGGUGGGGUGAUGGCCUACCAAGGCGGUGACGGGUAGCCGGCCUGAGAGGGUGGACGGUCACACUGGGACUGAGACACGGCCCAGACUCCUACGGGAGGCAGCAGUGGGGAAUAGUGCACAAUGGGCGCAAGCCUGAUGCAGCGACGCCGCGUGAGGGAUGGAGGCCUUCGGGGUGUGAACCUCUUUCGCCAGUGAAGCAGGCCUGCUCCUUGUGGGUGGGUUGACGGUAGCUGGAUAAGAAGCGCCGACUAACUACGUG
rnacentral:rRNA from 1 species